UAUCACUAGUAGCACGAUUUCAGUCUGAAACGGUCAUUUUGGUCUGAUCGUAUCUUAAUUGACUGGAUUUACCGCUAGAGGAAAACGUCAAGAUUUGUCAGAUCGUUAAGUCUCCAUUCGGAUCGAUAGUCUCAUUAGGUAAAUUAGUCCGUUAAGGCAUGUCAAGAUAUUUAAGACUGUAUCUUCUAGCGAGCUGUUUAGAUCCGUUAAGACCGUGUCAGACCGAAACAGAUCAAAACUCAAAAUCAACUUUCAAAAGUGUCAGACCAUGUUUAGAUCCGUUCAGUAUGCCGGUAUGAUACCACGAGUUACGCCCCUUCUGCUUGAUUAGUGCAUUUUAGAUUAAUUAUAUAUUUAUUUGAAGUUAAAGUAUUAUAUCAUGUAUAUCUCUC
rnacentral:lncRNA from 1 species